GUAGAGAUCUCUUUUUUUAUAUGUGCAUAUAGAAUUACACACAUUUCUGAAGCCAGGACACCCAUCAGUUCCAGGGAGACCAUUACUGUAUGACGUGUAUUCCAGUGUAACAGGUUUCAGAGUAGCAGCCGUGUUAGUCUGUAUUCGCAAAAAGAAAAGG